rnacentral:miRNA from 1 species
AACUUUUGUUAAUAUUUUCUUACCAAAAUAUGGAAGCGUAAGGAGUUACGUUCUGCGCAUGCGCGGACUUAUCUCCGUAAAUAGGCAUAAUUUGGUAAGACGAUAUUAAGCAAAGUUGUAGCACUCGUCAAGACGAACAACUUUUGUUAAUAUCUUCUUACCAAAAUAUGCAAGCGUAAGGAGUUACGUGCUGCGCAUGCGCAGACCUAUCUCCGUAAAUAGGCAUAAUUUGGUAAGAUGAUAUUAAGCAAAGUU